AACCAUAGAAACCUGCGGAGUACCUGCGGCGGGAUCAUUACCGAGUGUGGCCCCAUUUUUAAAACAAAUAGGGGUACCUCCCGUCCUUUGCAGGGCCCUUUGGGGCUUUUUGAACUUUGCUUCGGCGGGUUUUAUCCCGCCGGAACACCCUCAAGAAAAUCUUUUUAAAAAUACUGUCGUCUGAGCAUUUACAAAAUAAAACAAAACUUUUAACAAUGGAUCUCAGAUCGGAAGAGCACA
rnacentral:misc_RNA from 1 species